rnacentral:rRNA from 1 species
ACGGGAACCUUCGGGUUCUAGUGGCGGACGGGUGAGUAACGCGUGAGAAUCUACCUUCUGGUCGGGGACAACCACUGGAAACGGUGGCUAAUACCGGAUGAGCCUAAGGGUAAAAGAUUAAUUGCCAGAAGAAGAGCUCGCGUCUGAUUAGCUAGUUGGUGAGGUAAGAGCUCACCAAGGCAGCGAUCAGUAGCUGGUCUGAGAGGAUGACCAGCCACACUGGGACUGAGACACGGCCCAGACUCCUACGGGAGGCAGCAGUGGGGAAUUUUCCGCAAUGGGCGAAAGCCUGACGGAGCAAGACCGCGUGAGGGAAGAAGGCUUUUGGGUUGUAAACCUCUUUUAUCAGGGAAGAAAAAAAUGACGGUACCUGAAGAAUCAGCCUCGGCUAACUCCGUGCCAGCAGCCGCGGUAAUACGGAGGAGGCAAGCGUUAUCCGGAAUUAUUGGGCGUAAAGCGUCUGCAGGUGGCUUAUCAAGUCUGCUGUCAAAGAGUGGGGCUUAACCCCAUUAAGGCAGUGGAAACUGAGAAGCUAGAGUGCCGUAGGGGUAGAGGGAAUUCCCGGUGUAGCGGUGAAAUGCGUAGAGAUCGGGAAGAACAUCGGUGGCGAAAGCGCUCUACUGGACGGCAACUGACACUCAGGGACGAAAGCUAGGGGAGCGAAUGGGAUUAGAUACCCCAGUAGUCCUAGCCGUAAACGAUGGAUACUAG